UACGAAGGGUGCAAGCGUUACUCGGAAUUACUGGGCGUAAAGCGUGCGUAGGUGGUUUGUUAAGUCUGAUGUGAAAGCCCUGGGCUCAACCUGGGAAUUGCAUUGGAUACUGGCAGGCUAGAGCGCGGUAGAGGGUAGUGGAAUUCCCGGUGUAGCAGUGAAAUGCGUAGAGAUCGGGAGGAACACCAGUGGCGAAGGCGACUACCUGGACCAGCACUGACACUGAGGCACGAAAGCGUGGGGAGCAAACAGG
rnacentral:rRNA from 1 species